GCCGCUUACUCGCAAUCGCGUACCACACCGAUCCAUCUGUCUUGCCUCGCGAUUAAAUCACAUUAUGGUCAUGUUGACUCUUGCUUUAUCUGCAAACUGUUGGACAUUUUAUGCUCCAUUUACGGAGUCCACCAGAGAGCUUGUUAUAUUCAGAUAUUCGACUCUUGAUCAAAUGCAUGCAAGAGCUCAAUUUAUCAUGCAAUUUUAAGCCAAACAAAAACAGUCAAAAUAUUCCGAAAAAAAAACGUUUAAAAGAGACUAAAUUAGUCAUUAAAACCGGCUUAAAAAUGCCGGACGACUAAUCCCGGAAAUGAACUGUUAUUUUUCACAGCCCUAAUAAUGAAGCAUACUUAAAACCAAUGAAAUAAAAUAUUAAGAAAACCCACAUCAUAUUGUUUGGCCAUGCCGUCAUAUGUCAUAUCAACUGCUUUACGUUAACAAUUAACUUUUAAAACAAAAAAACAAGCAAAUCUAUUUUUCUGUAACUAAGAAAUCCUGAAAAUCCGACAAAAUUUUGCCUUUUUCUUACCGCUUUGUAUAAUAAGAUUUCAAUAUUUCAACGCAUUGAAUGAUCUAUAUGAAUAUUGUGUCAAUGCAAUGAUUUUGAACUCUUAUCCUUGAAAAAUAGCGGAAAAAUAUUUGUAAUCGCCAAUAAAACAAAAAAUAUCAAACGUUUCUGACAAAAUAUGACCAAAAUAAUUAUUUCCCUAGAAAAAUUUCGCCAAAUUUUCUUAUAGAAGAUUAUAUUUAAUAUCAGUGAGCAUAUAUUCAAUCUUUGAUAGCAUAGCAAUAAAUUUAUUGUAUCUAUGUUUUUUCAGAAGAUUUGUUCACCAUUUCCCCGCAGCUGACAUCGAAAUUUAGCCAAAACAAUGGAAGAGGAGAUGAUCUUUUUCCUCCUCCUCUUCUUGUCUUACGCACACGGAGCUGAGAUCAAUUUUGAAGAUUUAUCAAUCGACAACUGGAAACUGCUGAUAGGAGCAAAUGGUGGGUGAAACUUAACAAUGCGGUGUUUUGUUUUCUAUAACCCUUAAACCAAUUGACACAUAAAUUAUCGUGAGAAUUCAAUUCAUUUUUCAAAUAUUUCUAAAGUCUCAUAAUUAUUCCAACUCGCUGCCGCGCAUGAGCAGCCGAGUUGGUAAUAAUUAUGACCGAUUGUUGGCAUUAUUAAUCAGCCUAGUUGAAUAAUAUAUAGUUCAGUGGACCACAGUUUAAGGAGAGUGAGUUUUUGUUGGAAGCAUAAUUAAAGAGAGCAAAUAUAAUAAUAAGCGAAUUAGUAAUAUUGAGGAGAGGCUUUUGAGAAUGGCUUGGCCCAGCAGCAGAUAGAGUGUUAAAUUGAGAGGUAUCGGCGCGCCAGCGGCGGCGGAGGCGAAGGUCUGCUCGGCACGGCGGACAGCCCUCCCAGCUCUGCGUGGACCGUAAGUUACAGGGAACAGCCGGCAUAACAUUUUUCGUGGUGUCACAGAGCGAAAGGUUACCACAUUUGAUGAUCCGAGUAGCGUAACCAAUGCAGAAAUAUAAAAUCGAUUAUUGCGCAUCCCCCUUCCAAUUCAAUUUAUUCGCUUUUAAACUUGUAUUUUGACUAAAUUUUGUUGAAUUAUUUCCCCUCAAAAUUUAAAAGAGAGUUUUCAAAUGAUGAAAUUCAUGUAUUUUGCAGAAAAGGAACUGCAUUACGACUUUUGCAAGUAUAACGCGACAAGCAGCGGAACACAGUGCACAAGUUUUCCAAAGGUUGCUUCCAUAAAUAUUAGCGAGGUGUGCAAUUGCUCCGUCAAACACACCGAAACCGAAGUUGGCUCCAUCAAUUUCAGCGUCAUCUGCAACAGCAAUUCAAGUUGGUGCCCUGAGAAUCUGGACCUAAAGUACCAUCAAGGCUCCUUCGAGAAGCCAUCAGAGGCUGAAGAAAUUUCAGCAACUGCUAUCUCUCUGGUCUUGUCCCUAGUCUGCAACGCUUGUUUCAUCAUUAAAGAAGCGUUUGUCACGUGCCGAGACCGAGUGCAUUCUUAUUGCAUGCUGUAGUAUAUGUCAACAGGUCUUCAAAUGAAGAACGCGAUGACGCAGUUUUAACGAGCUCAAGAAGCAACUGCUUUCCAGGACGGAUAAUAACUGUCCUUUGUAUAAUCACCUCAAAUUUCAUUUUUUUUUUCAAAUUAAUGUUUUUCGACUAGAUUAUCAAGUGUGAAAAACUUACAUACCUCUCACAAUCAUUUAUGUUGUAUUCUUUAAUAGCACUAAAAUGAACUGUGACUGGCUCGUGUUAAAUAAGAGAGUGAGGGACGACUGUUGGUGAAAGGCAGCCGCCGCGAUGAUGAAUCAAAGGGAGAGCUCGGCGGGGAGAGAACGAUUUCCUCAAAGCAUGCGGCUAAAAUAUAAUUUGAAAAGUUAUUAGUGCUUUACAGAACAUAACCAACAAUAUUAUUUAGUUCCUUAUCAUAAAACGCUAUUUUUUAAUCACAAAAAUAUUCAUUUUUACUCCUCGCGACUGUCAAGGCCACCUUCAGGCCGCUGACUCACAAUCCCAAAGCCUCUCCGAUUCGCGUUUUCGGUUUGAUUUUUAUUUUCACCUUCUGUUUUUUUUCAAACUAAAGAAUAUAUGACUUUUUAAGUUCAACUCUGUUCAUUGUCUUGCCCCAUACUUCAUGCCCACAUCCCACAUCCACAAUGAAAAUAUUUUUAGCUAUAAAACAAUAUUAAAACGUGCCAGAGACUAGGUUGCUUCAGAAGCAUAGUGGAAAAAUAUUUGAUCUCUCUGAACUAGAGCUUGUCUCAAGACAGGAAACCAAAACUGGAAACCGGAAUCCGGUCCGUUUCCGGUUUUUCACACGGAACCGGAAAUAUUUUAACCGGACAGGAUUUUUUUCCUAGUAGUUGAAACAGGAACUGGAAAUAACCGGAAUAAUUUUUCCAGAACUGGAAAAACAAGAUGGGAAAUUCUGUUCUUUUAUACGAUCUCUUCUAAACUGACAGUGAGACUUGUAUUCUAAUUUAUGUAAAUCUCAACUUGCAACAGAUGCCAUGAAUCUAUAUAAUAAUGAUACUGAUUAAAAACGUUGCCAAAUGUCUCAUCCCGAUGGGCUCAAUCUCAUGUAUCUGGAUUAGACUUACUUUUUUGUACUUUUGUAAUUUUCUGCACGACUAUAGCUGAUAGUAAAAAAAUAAAAAAAAAUGAAAAAAGUGAUACUAAAUACA